AGUGAACGCUGGCGGUAGGCCUAACACAUGCAAGUCGAACGGCAGCACAGUAAGAGCUUGCUCUUACGGGUGGCGAGUGGCGGACGGGUGAGGAAUACAUCGGAAUCUACUUUUUCGUGGGGGAUAACGUAGGGAAACUUACGCUAAUACCGCAUACGACCUACGGGUGAAAGCAGGGGAUCUUCGGACCUUGCGCGAUUGAAUGAGCCGGUGUCGGAUUAGCUAGUUGGCGGGGUAAAGGCCCACCAAGGCGACGAUCCGUAGCUGGUCUGAGAGGAUGAACAGCCACAGUGGAACUGAGACACGGUCCUGACUCCUACGGGAGGCAGCAGUGGGGAAUAUUGGACAAUGGGCGCAAGCCUGAUCCAGCCAUACCGCGUGGGUGAAGAAGGCCUUCGGGUGGUAAAGCCCUUUUGUUGGGAAAGAAAAGCAGCAGGAUAAUACCCCGCUGUUCUGACGGUACCCAAAGAAUAAGCACCGGCUAACUUCGUG
rnacentral:rRNA from 1 species